GCGCUUGCUUCGGCAAUGCACAUACUAAAACUGGAACAUUACAGAUGUGAUCAGCACAGAUCCUACACAAGGAUGACAUGAGGCAUUGCAAAUUUUU
ensembl:snRNA U6 U6 spliceosomal RNA